rnacentral:rRNA from 1 species
CUACCGGGGUAUCUAAUCCUGUUUGCUCCCCACGCUUUCGCGCCUCAGCGUCAGUUACAGACCAGAGAGUCGCCUUCGCCACUGGUGUUCCUCCACAUAUCUACGCAUUUCACCGCUACACGUGGAAUUCCACUCUCCUCUUCUGCACUCAAGCUCCCCAGUUUCCAAUGGCCGCUCGGGGUUGAGCCCCGAGAUUUCACAUCAGACUUAAGAAGCCGCCUGCGCGCGCUUUACGCCCAAUAAUUCCGGACAACGCUUGCCACCUACGUAUUACCGCGGCUGCUGGCAC